GCUGGGCGUGGUGGCUCAUGCCUGUAAUCCCAGCACUUUGGGAGGCUGAGAUGGGAGGAUCACUUGAGGUCAGGAGUUUGAGACCAGCCUGACCAACAUGGUGAAACCCCAUUUCUA
rnacentral:SRP_RNA from 1 species